UACGUAGGGUGCAAGCGUUGUCCGGAAUUAUUGGGCGUAAAGAGCUCGUAGGCGGUUUGUCGCGUCUGCUGUGAAAACUCGGGGCUUAACCCCGGGCCUGCAGUGGGUACGGGCAGACUAGAGUGCGGUAGGGGAGACUGGAAUUCCUGGUGUAGAGGUGAAAUUCGUAGAUAUCGGGAGGAACACCGGUGGCGAAGGCGGCGAUCUGGGUAGAUACUGACGCUGAGGUGCGAAAGCGUGGGGAGCAAACAGG
rnacentral:rRNA from 1 species